AUGUUUGAAAGAUAAUAAAACAAAGAGAGGGUUCGAAAGGAGUGAUGGGUGUGGCUCCAAUUCCUACACGAACAUCAUCCUCAAAUUUGCCCAAAACCAAUUUACUUAAUCACAAAGCGUACCAUAGAAAGCACAUUCAUUAUCAAGAACACCCAAUUGGAGUAACAGUUAAUUCAAAAUUCCAAUGGAGCUAUGCAGAGUACCAGCUGCUACUACUGCAUUUGCAUGGACAAAUUCCAUCUCCUCUACCCUUCAACUCCCUCAAAUUCUCUUUGUAGGAGGUGGGUCUAAAAGAUUCAGAAUUUGGUGUGUGAAUGGAAACAUUGAGUCUCAGAAGGAAAGUCAGAUGGUUGUAUCAGUUACUGGAGCUACUGGAUUUGUUGGGAA